rnacentral:rRNA from 1 species
GAAUAUUGGACAAUGGGCGAAAGCCUGAUCCAGCGACGCCGCGUGUGUGAAGAAGGCCUGCGGGUUGUAAAGCACUUUCGAUGGGAACGAAAUGUGCCGGGUUAAUACCCCGGCAAGCUGACGUUACUCAAUGAAGAAGCACCGGCUAACUCUGUGCCAGCAGCCGCGGUAAUACAGAGGGUGCGAGCGUUAAUCGGAAUUACUGGGCGUAAAGCGCACGUAGGUGGCGACGUAAGUCGGGUGUGAAAGCCCCGGGCUCAACCUGGGAAUUGCAUUCGAGACUGCAUUGCUGGAGUACGGAAGAGGAGGGCGGAAUUCCCGGUGUAGCGGUGAAAUGCGCAGAUAUCGGGAGGAACACCAGUAGCGAAGGCGGUUCUCUGGGCCGGCACUGACGCUGAGGAGCGAAAGCGUGGGGAGCAAACAGG